rnacentral:rRNA from 1 species
GAUGAACGCUAGCGGCAGGCCUAACACAUGCAAGUCGAGGGGUAGAACACUUCGGUGUUUGAGACCGGCGCACGGGUGCGUAACGCGUAUGCAAUCUACCUUUUACAGAGGGAUAGCCCAGAGAAAUUUGGAUUAAUACCUCAUAGUAUCUUUGCCUGGCAUCGGGUGAUUAUUAAAGUUCCAACGGUAAAAGAUGAGCAUGCGUCCUAUUAGCUAGAUGGUAAGGUAACGGCUUACCAUGGCAACGAUAGGUAGGGGUCCUGAGAGGGAGAUCCCCCACACUGGUACUGAGACACGGACCAGACUCCUACGGGAGGCAGCAGUGAGGAAUAUUGGACAAUGGGCGCAAGCCUGAUCCAGCCAUGCCGCGUGCAGGAAGACGGUCCUAUGGAUUGUAAACUGCUUUUGUACGGGAAGAUACACUCCUACGUGUAGGAGCUUGACGGUACCGUAAGAAUAAGGAUCGGCUAACUCCGUGCCAGCCGCCGCAGUAAGAC